rnacentral:other from 1 species
CAUCCUCUGCUGUGUUCGAUAGUGGCUUAGAUCUCCUUGAGCCUAAUUUCCAACCCAGGGGACUAUUUGAUGAUGUUGGUGUGCAAGCCCGCUGCAGGCGGGAAGCCUGAUACAUCACUUCCGUCCCCCCUUUGAACCUCCGGUUCAAGGGCAAAAGCCACACCGGCACGAGCGGGGGAUGC